rnacentral:rRNA from 1 species
AGAUGAAAGUUACUUCGGUACAUCGGUGACAGGUGGUGCAUGGUUGUCGUCAGCUCGUGUCGUGAGAUGUUGGGUUAAGUCCCGCAACGAGCGCAACCCCUAUUGUUAGUUGCCAUCAUUCAGUUGGGCACUCUAGCGAGACUGCCGGUAAUAAACCGGAGGAAGGUGGGGAUGACGUCAAAUCAUCAUGCCCCUUAUGACCUGGGCUACACACGUGCUACAAUGGUUGGUACAACGAGUUGCGAGUCGGUGACGGCGAGCUAAUCUCUUAAAGCCAAUCUCAGUUCGGAUUGUAGGCUGCAACUCGCCUACAUGAAGUCGGAAUCGCUAGUAAUCGCGGAUCAGCACGCCGCGGUGAAUACGUUCCCGGGCCUU